ACACGGCAUGCCUAGUACGGCGAGUGAGCGGCAACAGCUCAAAUUUGAAAGCUAGCCUUCGGGUUCGCAUUGUAAUUUGUAGAGGAUGAUUUGGGGAAGCCGCCUGUCUAAGUUCCUUGGAACAGGACGUCAUAGAGGGUGAGAAUCCCGUAUGUGACAGGAAAUGGCACCCUAUGUAAAUCUCCUUCGACGAGUCGAGUUGUUUGGGAAUGCAGCUCUAAAUGGGAGGUAAAUUUCUUCUAAAGCUAAAUAUUGGCGAGAGACCGAUAGCGCACAAGUAGAGUGAUCGAAAGAUGAAAAGCACUUUGGAAAGAGAGUUAAAAAGCACGUGAAAUUGUUGAAAGGGAAGCGCUUGCAAUCAGACUUGUUUAAACUGUUCGGCCGGUCUUCUGACCGGUUUACUCAGUUUGGACAGGCCAGCAUCAGUUUCGGCGGCCGGAUAAAGGCUCUGGGAAUGUGGCCUCCACUUCGGUGGAGGUGUUAUAGCCCAGGGUGUAAUACGGCCAGCCGGGACUGAGGUCCGCGCUUCGGCUAGGAUGCUGGCGUAAUGGUUGUAAGCGACCCGUCUUGAACCACGGACCCA
rnacentral:rRNA from 1 species